rnacentral:lncRNA from 1 species
AAAGAACAUUCAAACAACAUAGAAGAGAACAAAGAGAAGCAAGGAUAAUGCUGAAAAUUAAAAUCAUAAUCAAAUUCACGAUCGGAUUCAACAACUAUUACCAGCUCCAAAGAUACCUAUUAUUAACUAAUGCUGAAUACUAGUAGGAGAUUAUAUGAAUCCAAUGCCUGCACUAGUGCAACCUCCCAUCCUCUAUCUGCCCUUUAGAUAGCUUAACUUCCUCGUCGGACCAAAUGUUAUCAAUCUCUCCCAGAAUCAUCAUACCAUCAAAUUUUUUUGGGGAAAGCUACAGAAAUCCACAUGAGUUUUUUCAAGCUUUUCUGAUGUCAUAAGCCACAAGGAUAUGUAUUAGCUACCUUUCACAUGUGGUUAUGUGGUUAUUCCCUCAAACACUGAAGAAGAGCGCAAAAAACAAGCUCAUUAUCUCCAGGAACAUAUUACCUUGGAAUGACGUGGUGCAAAAGUUCAUAACAAAUUUAUGCCCACCAUCUCGAGUACAUCAAAUUCAAAAUGAAGUUCAUACUUCAAACAGAAGGAUCUUAGGACAUAUUUCAGAGGCAUGUGAGAGGUUCAAGAGUGCAUUUACGAGUGUCCAAACAUUGUCAUUCCUAAGAAGGCACACGUAUAUCUUUUCUACCAUCUGCACCCAGAAUUUUGCAACAUGACAAAUGCUUCAGCAAGCAGCUCAGUUAUGACAAUGGAGAUUAAUGAUGUAUUCGCCAGUUAUGAAAGGAUUACUGAAAUCAAGCUGAUUGCCCGACCAAGAAGGACUUUCCAAAGAAAGCAGCAGGUAUGCAUAACAUGGAUACGAUAACAACAUUAGCAAGACAGAUGGAGGUAAUAACAAAGAAACAUAAUAGUCUAUCUCAGACUAUUACAAUGGUACAUCAAUCAACAUCGGUCUACGUAGGUUGUGGGACAUAUCAUAUUACUGCAAGUUCUCCAUUAGCUUCACUCAUAUGGGUCAACCUGCGAAGGUCAAUUAUGCACUAUCCCAAUAAUUAUCAUAUUGGUUUGAACAAGCAUCCAAACUUCUUGUGGGUAAAUAAUGAGGAUUAAGGAUAUUAGAUGAAGAGCAGUCCACCAGAAACUCAACAACAAAGGAAGAGAGAAUCCUCGGAUAAUCUAUUGAUAAAUAUAUCACCGAGACUGAAACUGCAAUUCAGAAUUAAUAGGCCUCUGUAUAGAACCUGGAAAAUUAGGUGGGUUAGAUCGCAGUUGUAUUGUCCAAUAGAUCACAUGCUACCAUGAUAUGGAGAAGAAAUUAUGAGAGCAUGUGUUAGCAGUUGAAGGAGUGAAUUAUGUAGUUAUUGACCUACCAUCAAACAAUUUCGAUAUUCCUAUCAAAGCUUAUGUGCCACCCAUCUUAUUCCCUCAAAGGCUGCCUUCACAGCCAAAAGAGGAGCAGGUUUAAGCCAUCACAAUUAGAAGUGGUACUCAAUUGCUAGAUAU